rnacentral:rRNA from 1 species
GGAGAAAAGCAGGGGAUCGCAAGACCUUGCGCUUUUGGAGCGGCCGAUGUCUGAUUAGCUUGUUGGUGAGGUAAAAGCUUACCAAGGCUUCGAUCAGUAGCUGGUCUGAGAGGACGACCAGUCACACUGGGACUGAGACACGGCCCAGACUCCUACGGGAGGCAGCAGUGGGGAAUUUCGGAUAAUGGGGGCAACCCUGAUCCAGCCAUGCCGCGUGAGUGAAGAAGGCCUUCGGGUUGUAAAGCUCUUUCAGCCGGAACGAAACGGUUACGGUUAAUACCCGUGACUACUGACGGUACCGGAAGAAGAAGCACCGGCUAACUACGUGCCAGCAGCCGCGGUAAUACGUAGGGUGCGAGCGUUAAUCGGAAUUACUGGGCGUAAAGCGUGCGCAGGUGGUUUUGUAAGUCAGAUGUGAAAUCCCCGGGCUUAACCUGGGAACUGCGUUUGAAACUACAAGGCUAGAGUGUGGCAGAGGGGGGUGGAAUUCCGCGUGUAGCAGUGAAAUGCGUAGAGAUGUGGAGGAACACCGAUGGCGAAGGCAGCCCCCCGGGUCAACACUGACGCUCAGGCACGAAAGCAUGGGGAGCAAACAGGAUUAGAUACCCUGGUAGUCCAUGCCCUAAACGAUGUCAACUAGUUGUCGGGCCUUUACGGGCUUGGUAACGUAGCUAACGCGUGAAGUUGACCGCCUGGGGAGUACGAUCGCAAGAUUAAAACUCAAAGGAAUUGACGGGGACCCGCACAAGCGGUGGAUUAUGUGGAUUAAUUCGAUGCAACGCGAAAAACCUUACCUACCCUUGACAUGUAUCGAAGCUCGCAGAGAAGUGAGUGUGCCCGAAAGGGAACGAUAACACAGGUGCUGCAUGGCUGUCGUCAGCUCGUGUCGUGAGAUGUUGGGUUAAGUCCCGCAACGAGCGCAACCCUUGUCACUAAUUGCCAUCAUUUAGUUGGGCACUUUAAUGAGACUGCCGGUGACAAACCGGAGGAAGGUGGGGAUGACGUCAAGUCCUCAUGGCCCUUAUGGGUAGGGCUUCACACGUAAUACAAUGGCG